AUGGAUGGUCAGCUCCAAAAGAGUGUCAUUGUGUCGUAUCACAUCCUCCAACUCAGCACCUGCAGUCGCUCCCAGCUGCAGCAGUGCACUGGUCCGGUGGUGAAGCCCUCCGUGUCUCUGCUCCCUUCCUCCUCUCUGCAGCUCUCUGAGGGAUCGGCCUCACUGUUCUGCCUGCUCUCAGCCUAUUCUCCACAGGGGGCGCUGCUGACCUGGACUGUGGAUGGUGCCGAGGUGAACGAGGGGAUUGUGACCAGCACAGAAGAACAGAAGAACUGCUUCUACAGCCGCAGCAGCACCCUGACCCCCAGCAAAGAACGCUGGGAAAAGGCCGAGGUGUUCGGCUGUACCGUCUCCUACCACGACACGACUCAGAUCACCUCGUUCCGAAAGAGUCGCUGUGACGCUCACUAG